rfam:Clostridium sp. ASF356 genomic scaffold acMac-supercont1.3, whole genome shotgun sequence.
CAGUUGAAAAAAAUAUUGCCGUAGACAGCAGGUGCAUAAGCGGAAAUCCUGCCGAGGAAAAUUGUUAAAAUCAUUCUCUCUUUGUCUGCGUCAAAGAGAUUUUUUUUAUGUUUU